CAUAAAGUAAGGAUAUCACUAGGUGUUUGCAAUUUCUCUGACUGUCUGCAGUCAGGUUGUGAAUUAAAGCCACUCACUCAGUACUGUUGGGGCUGAGACUGUGUGCAUGGCUUUGAGGAUGGGAAGGUGCUAAAGAGACAGGCUUAAAGGGACACUCCAGGCACCCAGACCACUUCUGCCCAAUCACCAUUAACCCUGCAAAU